GGAACUUAAACACUCUCUCUCUCGGAGUUUUCUCUCAAUAUUCCUCACUAGGGAUAAUAUUGAGCUUGCUCACUUGGCUUGUAUUGUAUGCAACGGGAUGGAGCCUAUUUAUAGGCUUAUAACAGCCUCUGCAGAGCCCACAAUUGUUGAACAAUCCAUUUUCGGUGCAGUGGUGUCAAAAAUGGUGGCUGUCCAAAAUGGUGGCUGUGGUUGGUGCGGCUGUGGUUGGUGCGGCUGGACUUCACAUGUCUCGCUUCUAUUGUGCAACUUAUACAUAUCUGUCACUCUGUGUUCGAAAAUUUCAAUUUGUUUCUCUACAUCGUCGGCAACCCCAAAAAAAAAAAAAAAAAAAAAUCCAUUGGGUCCUCUCCUCUGUUGACUAAUUUGACACAAAAUUGAAGAUUUUAACUUUAAUGUUUAACAAAUCCAUCACUAUUUACGGAAAAAGUAAAAGAAAUUGGCCACUAAAAGAUGAUUAUCACUAAUUUGCAAUUAAUGGCACUACAGGGGACCCAAUUAAUUCAUGACGAAACCGUAAACGUGAAGCCACCAAAAGCCAGCUUCGAUUCGACUUUGUGCACUCUCAAAUCUAUUGGCAGGGAGCUUUCCUGCAAACCUCCUGCUGAAGAAAUUGCCUACAAAUCAACCAUCUCCAUUCUCAACAAGCUCUCAAACUGCUCAUGGGACUCAAAGGCGGUUCUAACACUCGCAGCUUUCGCUUUAGACUACGGAGAAUUUUGGCAUCUUUUUCAGCUUCCACAAUCUGACCAACUUGCCAACUCAUUGGCUAUUUUAAAGCGAGUUCCAAUCCUUCUUCUCUAGCCUGUAAACCUUAAAAAACGAAGGCAAGCCAUGGUUGAGCUUAAUAGUGUUAUCAGAGCAACUCUGCAAGUGAUCAAGAUCAUCUUCCAGCUCGAGAAUCUUUAUAACCAUCACCUGAAAGAUGUACUGGCAUUGGCAUUAGCAAUGGAGGAUAUUCCUGUAAUGUUUUCUGGGUAAUCAUUACCAUUGUAGCUUGUUUUACCAAGAUCACUAUCCUCACCGGGACAAGCAUCACGAUCUUACACCCUAUGUUGAAAAGAUUCACUAUAUCUUCAAUAAAUUGAAGAUUCAGCUGAUAAAUUGCACGAAACAGAUUGAGGAGCUUCAGAACUAUUGGAGACUAUGUAGAAUUAUUGGGAGUUCCACCAUAAGCUUGCCGAUUCUCAAAGCCUUGAUCUUUCCCAAGGAUGAUGUGCAGCCAAUAAUUGAUGGUUCCACUAACGAAACGGUUCGUUUUGGUGGCCACCUUAUCUCUUUAGUGUUUAUUUGUUAUAUUAUAUAUCGCCCUUGGCCUAAAUUUAUAUAUUGUUUCAUACAAAUAGUUUUUCUGGAUUUGCCCUGUUUUUACAUAUUAGAGUCGUUAAUAAUAAUCAUCAACCUGUUUA